rnacentral:rRNA from 1 species
UACGGAAGGGGCUAGCGUUGUUCGGAAUUACUGGGCGUAAAGCGCACGUAGGCGGCUUUGCAAGUUAGAGGUGAAAGCCCAGGGCUCAACCCUGGAAUUGCCUUUAAAACUGCAUCGCUAGAAUUGUGGAGAGGUAAGUGGAAUUCCGAGUGUAGAGGUGAAAUUCGUAGAUAUUCGGAAGAACACCAGUGGCGAAGGCGACUUACUGGACACAUAUUGACGCUGAGGUGCGAAAGCGUGGGGAGCAAACAGG